rnacentral:rRNA from 1 species
UGAAUACGAGACGCUAAGGCGUCGAAGUAGUGUAUGUCAUACUUCCAAGAAAAGCUUGCACUGUCAUAGAUAAAAAACGCCUGUACCAUAACCGACACAGGUGGGUAGGUAGAGUAUACUAAGGGGCGCGAGAUAACUCUCUCUAAGGAACUCGGCAAAAUAACUCCGUAACUUCGGGAGAAGGAGUGCCUUAUUCGUAAGGUUGCAAUAACAAGAUCCAAGCAACUGUUUAUCAAAAACACAGGUCUCCGCUAAGUCGUAAGACGAUGUAUGGGGGCUGACGCCUGCCCAGUGCCAGAAGGUUAAAGAAGUUGGUUAGCAAUUGCGAAGCUGAUAACUGAAGCCCUGGUGAACGGCGGCCGUAACGAUAACGGUCCUAAGGUAGCGAAAUUCCUUGUCGGGUAAGUUCCGACCCGCACGAAAGGCGUAAUGAUUUGGAUACUGUCUCGGAGAGGGGCUCGGUGAAAUAGACUUGUCUGUGAAGAUGCGGACUACCUGCACCAGGACAGAAAGACCCUAUGAAGCUUUACUGUAACUUGAAAUUGAAAUUGGACUUUAUUCGCGCAGUAUAGGUGGGAGGCGUUGAUUAUAAUCUUGUGGGAUUAUUGGAGCCAUCAGUGAGAUACCACUCUUGUAAUGUUAGAUUUCUAACUUUGAAUCAUUAUCUGGUCAAAGAACAGUUUCAGGCGGGCAGUUUGACUGGGGCGGUCGCCUCCUAAACGGUAACGGAGGCGUACAAAGGUUUCCUCUGAACGGUUAGAAAUCGUAUCUAGAGUGUAAAGGCAUAAGGAAGCUUGACUGUGAGACCUACAAGUCGAGCAGGGACGAAAGUCGGUCUUAGUGAUCUGACGGUACUGAGUGGAAAGGCCGUCACUCAACGGAUAAAAGUUACUCUAGGAUAACAGGCUGAUCUCCCCCAAGAGUUCACAUCGACGGGGAGGUUUGGCACCUCGAUGUCGGCUCAUCGCAUCCUGGGGCGGUAGUACGUCCCAAGGGUUGGGCCGUUCGCCCAUGAAAGCGGUACGCGAGCUGGGUUCAGAACGUCGUGAGACAGUUCGGUCCAUAUCCGGUGUAGGCGUUAGAAUAUUGAGAGGAGCCUUCUUUAGUACGAGAGGACCGAGAAGGACAUACCUCUGGUGUACCAGUUAUCGUGCCAACGGUAAACGCUGGGUAGCUAUGUAUGGAGUGGAUAACCGCUGAAAGCAUCUAAGUGGGAAGCCCACCUCAAGAUAAG